GAUGAACGCUGGCGGCGUGCGUAACACAUGCAAGUUGGACGACGGUGUCAAGAAGUGGUAACACGGAUUGAUAUACGGAGUAGCGGACGGGUGAGUAAAGCAUGAGAAGCUGUCCUACGGAGGGGGAUAACGUUCGGAAACGGACCCUAAUACCCCAUAGUCCGAGAGGUUAAAGGCAGAGAUGUGCCGUAGGAGGUGCUCGUGUCCUAUCAGCUAGUUGGUGAGGUAAGGGCUCACCAAGGCAACGACGGGUAGCCGGCCUGAGAGGGUGACCGGCCACACUGGAACUGAGAUACGGUCCAGACUCCUACGGGAGGCAGCAGUGGGGAAUAUUGGGCAAUGGGAGGAAUCCUGACCCAGCGACGCCGCGUGAACGAAGACGGCCUUCGGGUUGUAAAGUUCUUUUAUGUGGGAAGAAGGAAGUGACGGUACCACAUGAAUAAGCCCCGGCUAACUACGUGCCAGCAGCCGCGGUAAUACGUAGGGGGCGAGCGUUGUCCGGAAUUACUGGGCGUAAAGGGCACGCAGGCUGUGCUUCAAGUCAGCUGUAAAAGGAUGCGGCUUAACCGUGUUAUGCAGUUGAGACUGAGGUGCUGGAGUACCGGAGAGGCAAGUGGAAUUCCCAGUGUAGCGGUGAAAUGCGUAGAUAUUGGGAAGAACAUCGGUGGCGAAGGCGACUUGCUGGACGGUAACUGACGCUGAGGUGCGAAAGCCAGGGUAGCGAACGGGAUUAGAUACCCCGGUAGUCCUGGCGGUAAACGAUGAAUGCUAGGUGUGCGAGCAGAGAUGUUGGUGUGCCGCAGUUAACGCGAUAAGCAUUCCGCCUGGGGAGUACGGUCGCAAGAUUGAAACUCAAAGGAAUUGACGGGGGCCCGCACAAGCGGUGGAGCACGUGGUUAAUUCGAUGCAAACCGAAGAACCUUACCUGGGUUUGACAUGUACGUAGUAAGAGUCUGAAAGGAUGAUGACGUUACCUUCGGGGUACUGAGCGUACACAGGGGCUGCAUUGGCUGUCGUCAGCCCGUGUCGUGAGAGUUGGGGUUAGUUCCGCCACGAGCGCACCCCUGCGAAUAGUUGCUACGGGUAAGCUAGACCCUAGUGGACUGCAUCACAGAUGAGAGGUGGAUACGUCAGUAUAUGGCCUAUUCAGGCAAAC
rnacentral:rRNA from 1 species